rnacentral:lncRNA from 1 species
AUUUGCUUGUUGAUUUUAACGAGGGAGCGGAAAUUUAUGAAAUUGCAAUAACUGAAAUGAAAAAGAAGUUUAAAAAAUAUUGUUUUCCAAUCCCUCAUAUAUUUGGUGUGUCUGCUAUGCUAAAUCCUACUACGAAAUUAGGAGGUCCUCAUUUUUGGUAUUCUACUAUUUAUCAAGCUUUAUAUCUUUCAGAAGAAGAAAUGGCUACACUAUCUGAUGCGAAAGCAUCAAUUAAAGUGAAUGCUC